rnacentral:rRNA from 1 species
GACGAACGCUGGCGGCGUGCUUAACACAUGCAAGUCGAACGGAAAGGCCCUGCUUUUGUGGGGUGCUCGAGUGGCGAACGGGUGAGUAACACGUGAGUAACCUGCCCUUGACUUUGGGAUAACUUCAGGAAACUGGGGCUAAUACCGGAUAGGAGCUCCUGCUGCAUGGUGGGGGUUGGAAAGUUUCGGCGGUUGGGGAUGGACUCGCGGCUUAUCAGCUUGUUGGUGGGGUAGUGGCUUGCCAAGGCUUUGACGGGUAGCCGGCCUGAGAGGGUGACCGGCCAAAUUGGGACUGAGAUAAGGCCCAGACUCCUACGGGAGGCAGCAGUGGGGAAUAUUGCACAAUGGGAGGAAGCCUGAUGCAGCAACGCCGCGUGCGGGAUGACGGCAUUCGGGUUGUAAACCGCUUUCGCCUGUGACGAAGCGUGAGUGACGGUAAUGGGUAAAGAAGCACCGGCUAACUACGUG